AACGCACAUUGCACCUAUUGGUAUUCCGAUAGGUAUGCUUGUUCGAGUCUCAGUUUUCAUCUCACACAACCAAUGGUUUUUAAAAGCUGUAAUGGCGCCAAGUGGUUAUUGUGGUAUUGAGUGUCUUCCCACUUGUUAAACGAGAGGGUCACUUGAAAUACUUGGUAACUUUCAUGAGUCCAAGAAUGCUUCGCUUAUGUCUUGAAAAGCUCAAAGUACCGCUAAGUUUAAGCCUUUACUGGUCACUCUUUAGCUGGGAAAUUUUCGAGAUUGAAGUAAUCGACAGACUUUUACUACCAAACUUGAUAUCGACUAGCAGUCGUAGCUACUGUCUAAUCGAAAUCUUUGAACCCUUGAGCUCGAAUCAAGCAAGAUUACCCGCUGAACUUAA
rnacentral:misc_RNA from 1 species